rnacentral:rRNA from 1 species
GUGGCGAGUGGCGAACGGGUGAGUAAUACAUCGGAACGUACCCAGAAGUGGGGGAUAACGUAGCGAAAGUCACGCUUAAUACCGCAUACGUUCUACGGAAGAAAGUGGGGGAUCGCAAGACCUCAUGCUUUUGGAGCGAGCCAGAUGUCUGAUUAGCUAGUUGGUGAGGUAAAGGCUCACCAAGGCGACGAUCAGUAGCUGGUCUGAGAGGACGCCAGCACACACUGGAACUGAGACACGGUCCAGACUCCUACGGGAGGCAGCAGUGGGGAAUUUUGGACAAUGGGCGCAAGCCUGAUCCAGCAAUGCCGCGUGAGUGAAGAAGGCCUUCGGGUUGUAAAGCUCUUUUGUCGGGGAAGAAACGGCAGUGGCUAAUAUCCUUUGCUAAUGACGGUGCCGGAAGAA